rnacentral:pre_miRNA from 1 species
GCAAGAGGUAGAAUCCCAAAGAAGAGAAGAUCAGCCUGCAAAGACGGACUGCCAAAUGCAGGCUGAUGUUCUCCUCUUUGGAUUCUCUUGU